UACGUAGGGUGCGAGCGUUAAUCGGAAUUACUGGGCGUAAAGCGUGCGCAGGCGGUGAUGUAAGACAGUUGUGAAAUCCCCGGGCUCAACCUGGGAAUUGCAUCUGUGACUGCAUCGCUAGAGUACGGUAGAGGGGGGAUGGAAUUCCGCGUGUAGCAGUGAAAUGCGUAGAUAUGCGGAGGAACACCGAUGGCGAAGGCAAUCCCCU
rnacentral:rRNA from 1 species